rnacentral:rRNA from 1 species
GACGAACGCUGGCGGCGUGCUUAACACAUGCAAGUCGAACGGAAAGGCCCUGCUUUUGUGGGGUGCUCGAGUGGCGAACGGGUGAGUAACACGUGAGUAACCUGCCCUUGACUUUGGGGUAACUUCAGGAAACUGGGGCUAAUACCGGAUAGGAGCUCCUGCUGCGUGGUGGGGGUUGGAAAGUUUCGGCGGUUGGGGAUGGACUCGCGGCUUAUCAGCUUGUUGGUGGGGUAGUGGCUUACCAAGGCUUUGACGGGUAGCCGGCCUGAGAGGGUGACCGGCCACAUUGGGACUGCGAUACGGCCCAGACUCCUACGGGAGGCAGAAGUGGGGAAUAUUGCACAAUGGGCGGAAGCCUGAUGCAGCAACGCCGCGUGCGGGAUGACGGCCUUCGGGUUGUAAACCGCUUUCGCCUGUGACGAAGCGUGAGUGACGGUAAUGGGUAAAGAAGCACCGGCUAACUACGUG